GACGAACGCUGGCGGCGUGCCUAAUACAUGCAAGUCGAGCGGAUGAAAGAGGAGCUUGCUCCUCUAGAUUCAGCGGCGGACGGGUGAGUAACACGUGGGCAACCUGCCCUGUAGAUUGGGAUAACUCCGGGAAACCGGGGCUAAUACCGAAUAAUCCUUCGGACCUCAUGGUCCGAUGUUGAAAGACGGUUUCGGCUGUCACUACAGGAUGGGCCCGCGGCGCAUUAGCUAGUUGGUGAGGUAACGGCUCACCAAGGCCACGGUGCGUAGCCGACCUGGGAGGGUGAUCGGCCACACUGGGACUGAGACACGGCCCAGACUCCUACGGGAGGCAGCAGUAGGGAAUCUUCCACAAUGGACGAAAGUCUGAUGGAGCAACGCCGCGUGAGUGAAGAAGGUUCUCGGAUCGUAAAACUCUGUUGUGAGGGAAGAACAAGUACCGGAGUAACUGCCGGUGCCUUGACGGUACCUCAUUAGAAAGCCACGGCUAACUACGUGCCAGCCGCCGCAGUAACAC
rnacentral:rRNA from 1 species